GGGAGGGUCAUUUGGAAAACUGGGGAAACUUUGAGUGCAGAAGAGGAAAGUGGAAUUCCACGUGUAGCGGUGAAAUUGCGUAGAGAUGUGGAGGAACACCAGUGGCGAAGGCGACUCUCUGGUCUGUAACUGACGCUGAGGAGCGAAAGCGUGGGGAGCGAACAGGAUUAGAUACCCUGGUAGUCCACGCCGUAAACGAUGAGUGCUAAGUGUUAGGGGGUUUCCGCCCCUUAGUGCUGCAGCUAACGCAUUAAGCACUCCGCCUGGGGAGUACGGUCGCAAGACUGAAACUCAAAGGAAUUGACGGGGGCCCGCACAAGCGGUGGAGCAUGUGGUUUAAUUCGAAGCAACGCGAAGAACCUUACCAGGUCUUGACAUCCUCUGACAAUCCUAGAGAUAGGACGUCCCCUUCCGGGGCACAGUGACACGUGGUGCAUGGUUGUCGUCACCUCUUGUCGUGAGAUAUUGUGUUAAGUCCCGCAACGAGCGCAACCCUUGAUCUUAGUUGCCAGCAUUCUGUUGUGCACUCUAAAGUGACUGCGGGUGAC
rnacentral:rRNA from 1 species